rnacentral:rRNA from 1 species
AGAGUUUGAUCCUGGCUCAGAAUGAACGUUGGCGGCGUGGAUUAGGCAUGCAAGUCGCACGGGCCGCAAGGCCAGUGGCGCAAGGGUGAGUAAGGCGACGGUAACCAACCCCGCGAUUGGGUAUAGCCGCGGGAAACCGCGGGUAAUCCCCAGCGACGUCCGGCGAGGGCAUCCUCGCUCGACCAAAGCUCCGGCGUCGC